AUUGAACGCUGGCGGAAUGCUUUACACAUGCAAGUCGAACGGCAGCACGGACUUCGGUCUGGUGGCGAGUGGCGAACGGGUGAGUAAUGUAUCGGAACGUGCCCAGUCGUGGGGGAUAACGUAGUGAAAAUUACGCUAAUACCGCAUACGAUCUAUGGAUGAAAGCGGGGGAUCGCAAGACCUCGCGCGAUUGGAGCGGCCGAUAUCAGAUUAGGUAGUUGGUGGGGUAAAGGCCCACCAAGCCAACGAUCUGUAGCUGGUCUGAGGGGACGACCAGCCACACUGGAACUGGGACACGGUCCAGACUCCUACGGGCGGCAGCAGUGGGGAAUUUUGGACAAUGGGCGAAAGCCUGAUCCAGCCAUUCCGCGUGCAGGAUGAAGGCCCUCGGGUUGUAAACUGCUUUUGUACAGAACGAAAAGGUUUCUACUAAUACUAGGAGCUCAUGACGGUACUGUAAGAAUAAGCACCGGCUAACUACGUGCCAGCAGCCGCCGUAA
rnacentral:rRNA from 1 species